UUAUGUUAUCCAUGGAGAACUGCAAAUAUGUUGCUACUACGCUCAAUAACAUUGCGGCCCUGAAUUUAUCAGGUGCUAUCUACAAAGGUCAGUAGGAAAAAGUUGUGAUGGACUACGGUCGUGCCAUGCAAUGCUGACACUCAUUUCAUAACACGUUUUGAAAUCAGUGGAACACAACGUGCCAAACAAGCUGUGCAAACUAAACGAAAACAGAACAGGAUGUCUUAUAAAAGGGGUUGCAGUCUGCCGUGAAGCUUUCAUCUAUGUAUACAGGUAAGAAUCUAGCUACAGAUUCAGAUAUUAUAAGUUUCUAAUUUUGUCAGAAGGUUGUUUUCAUCACAAGCUAAAGCUUGCUGGAGUUCGAUGGCUGGCUUGCUUUUUAAAAAUGUAACCUUUAUUUAACUAGGCAAGUCAGUUAAGAACAAAUUCUUUACAAUGACAGCCUACCAGGGAACAGUGGGUUAACUGCCUUGUUCAGGGGCAAAAUGACAGACUUUUAUCUUGUCAGCUUGGGGAUUUGAUCCAGUAACCUUUCGUUUACUGCUCCAAUGCAUUAACCACUAGGCUAACUAACAAUGAACUAAUUAACAAUGAACUUAAUGUGAAGCUUUCGUCCAUGUAUACAGCAUUAAAUCAGUAGAACACGCCUGACUCUAAUCCACCAGUCAUACAGUCAUCAAAAAGAGAGCUGGCCCAAGCAAGCAAAGGCAGCAGCGCAGUCAUCAACUACAUGCACCAUUUCUUCACCACCUACGGAGUUGGGAAAACACGUGUGGACCUGAAUUGUGAUAACUGCAGUGGCCAAAACAAGAACAAGUUUGUGCUCUGGUAUUGUGCCUGGUGGACCGUGCACAAGCUCCACCAGAAUCUGGACCUUCACUUCCUGAUCACAGGCCACACCAAGUUUGCCCCUGACUGGGGCUUUGGUCUCAUCAAGCAGCGCUUCAUAAAGACCAGAGUGAACACUUUGUCUGAGAUUGCUGGUGUUGUGAAGGACAGUACUGUGACAGGGGUCAACAUCCCACAGCUGGUUGGACUGGAGGAUGGUACGGUGCUGGUGGAAAGCUAUGGCUGACAACAACACCUGACACCGUACUUCAGGCCGCUGCCACAGAUCAAGCAGUACCAGCACUUCAGCUUCGAUGCUCUGAAGCCUGGUGUUGUCGCCAAGGAGCGUUCAGACUGUC